UACGUAGGGGGCUAGCGUUGUCCGGAUUUAUUGGGCGUAAAGAGCGUGUAGGCGGCCAGAUAGGUCUGCUGUGAAAACUCGAGGCUCAACCUCGAGAUGUCGGCGGAAACCAUUUGGCUAGAGUCCGGAAGAGGAAAGUGGAAUUCCUGGUGUAGCGGUGAAAUGCGCAGAUAUCAGGAAGAACACCUAUGGCGAAGGCAGCUCUCUGGGACGGUACUGACGCUGAGACGCGAAAGCGUGGGGAGCGAACAGG
rnacentral:rRNA from 1 species